UACGGGAGGCAGCAGUGGGGAAUAUUGCACAAUGGGCGCAAGCCUGAUGCAGCCAUGCCGCGUGUAUGAAGAAGGCCUUCGGGUUGUAAAGUACUUUCAGUCGUGAGGAAGGUGUUAAGGUUAAUAACCUUAGCAAUUGACGUUAGCGACAGAAGAAGCACCGGCUAACUCCGUGCCAGCAGCCGCGGUAAUACGGAGGGUGCGAGCGUUAAUCGGAAUUACUGGGCGUAAAGGGCACGCAGGCGGUUAAUUAAGUUGGAUGUGAAAUCCCCGGGCUUAACCUGGGAAUGGCAUUCAAGACUGGUUAGCUAGAGUCUUGUAGAGGGGGUAGAAUUCCAUGUGUAGCGGUGAAAUGCGUAGAGAUGUGGAGGAAUACCGGUGGCGAAGGCGGCCCCUGGGACAAAGACUGACGCUCAUGUGCGAAAGCGUGGGGAGCAAACAGGAUUAGAACC
rnacentral:rRNA from 1 species